AACGUAGGAGGCAAGCGUUAUCCGGAGUUACUGGGCGUAAAGCGUGCGUAGGCGGGUCGGUAAGUGGGUGGUGAAAGCGCUCGGCUUAACCUGGGGGCUGCAUUUGAUACGUGUGGGCUUGAGUGCGGAAGAGGGUCGUGGAAUUCCCAGUGUAGAGGUGAAAUUCGUAGAUAUUGGGAAGAACACCGGUGGCGAAGGCGGCGACCUGGUCCGUGACUGACGCUGAGGCGCGAAAGCGUGGGGAGCAAACAGG
rnacentral:rRNA from 1 species